rnacentral:lncRNA from 1 species
CCAGUGUGCAUCGAUUCGAUAAACCCAAUCAUUGAUCACAGCGAUCGAUCAAGUCAUGUCAAGGGGAUAAUCGUACUCCGGAUUUUGGAAAAUACUGCAUAUCAACGGAUAUCCAUUGCAACAGUUCUGUCAUCUGAGGAUAGAGCAAGAGGUUGAGAGAGGGAGGAGUUCCCUCUUGUAUUGCCAGGCUGACCAGUGAGGUCUCUUAGUAUUGAGGAGUUGCUUUUCCCAUUAAACGGAAUUUCAGAGAGCGAACCUGGUGAGUAACCAAUGG